rnacentral:tRNA from 1 species
GCCUGGGUGGCACAGCGGUUGAGCGUCUGCCUUCGGCUCAGGGCGUGAUCCCGUUGUGGGAUCGAGCCCCACAUCAGGCU